GAUGAACGCUGGCGGCGUGCUUAACACAUGCAAGUCGAACGAUGAAGCCCAGCUUGCUGGGUGGAUUAGUGGCGAACGGGUGAGUAACACGUGAGUAACCUGCCCUUAACUCUGGGAUAAGCCUGGGAAACUGGGUCUAAUACCGGAUAGGAGCGUCCACCGCAUGGUGGGUGUUGGAAAGAUUUAUCGGUUUUGGAUGGACUCGCGGCCUAUCAGCUUGUUGGUGAGGUAAUGGCUCACCAAGGCGACGACGGGUAGCCGGCCUGAGAGGGUGACCGGCAACACUGGGACUGAGACACGGCCCAGACUCCUACGGGAGGCAGCAGUGGGGAAUAUUGCACAAUGGGCGCAAGCCUGAUGCAGCGACGCCGCGUGAGGGAUGACGGCCUUCGGGUUGUAAACCUCUUUCAGUAGGGAAGAAGCGAAAGUGACGGUACCUGAAGAAGAAGCACCGGCUAACUACGUG
rnacentral:rRNA from 1 species